CAGCCGCCGCGGGAAUACGAAGGGUGCAAGCGUUAAUCGGAAUUACUGGGCGUAAAGCGUGCGUAGGCGGUGAGUUAAGUCUGCUGUGAAAUCCCCGGGCUCAACCUGGGAAUGGCAGUGGAUACUGGCUCGCUAGAGUGUGUCAGGGGAUGGUGGAAUUCCCGGUGUAGCGGUGAAAUGCGUAGAGAUCGGGAGGAACAUCAGUGGCGAAGGCGGCCAUCUGGGACAACACUGACGCUGAGGCACGAAAGCGUGGGGAGCAAACAGGAUUAGAUACCCGCGUAGUCCCUGUCUCUUAUAC
rnacentral:rRNA from 1 species